CCUACGGGUGGCAGCAGUGAGGAAUAUUGGUCAAUGGGCGAGAGCCUGAACCAGCAAAGUCGCGUGAGGGAUGAAGGUUCUAUGGAUCGUAAACCUCUUUUAUAAGGGAGUAAAGUGUGGGACGUGUCCUAUUUGGUAUGUACAUUAUGAAUAAGGAAGGGCUAACUACGUGCCAGCAGCGGCGGUAAUACGGAGGAUCCGAGCGUUAUCCGGAUUUAUUGGGUUUAAAGGGUGCGUAGGCGGCCUUUUAAGUCAGCGGUGAAAGUCUGUGGCUCAACUAGAGAAUUGCCUUUGAAACUGGGGGGCUUGAGUAUGUUUGAGGCAGGUGGAAUGCGUGGUGUAGCGGUGAAAUGCUUAGAUAUCACGCAGAACCCCGAUUGCGAAGGCAG
rnacentral:rRNA from 1 species